rfam:Glycine soja cultivar W05 scaffold2015_61, whole genome shotgun sequence.
CAGGAUCGUCCUGAGACCAAAUGAGCAGCUGACCACAUGAUGCAGCUAUGUUUGCUAUUCAGCUGCUCAUCUGUUCUCAGGUCGCCCUU